rnacentral:rRNA from 1 species
GACGAACGCUGGCGGCGUGCUUAACACAUGCAAGUCGAGCGGUAAGGCCCUUCGGGUACGACGAGCGGCGAACGGGUGAGUAACACGUGGGUGACCUGCCUCUAGCUCUGGGAUAAGCCUGGGAAACUGGGUCGUAAUACCGGAUAUGACUCCACGGCGCAUGUUGUGGGGUGGAAAGCCUUGUGUGGCUAGAGAUGGGCCCGCGGCCUAUCAGCUUGUUGGUGGGGUGGUGGCCUACCAAGGCGACGACGGUAGCCGGCCUGAGAGGCGACCGGCCACACUGGGACUGAGACACGGCCCAGACUCCUACGGGAGGCAGCAGUGGGGAAUCUUGCGCAA